rnacentral:rRNA from 1 species
GUGAACAUACCUAUAACUGUUGCUUCGGCGGGUAGGGUCUCCGCGACCCUCCCGGCCUCCCGCCUCCGGGCGGGUCGGCGCCCGCCGGAGGAUAACCAAACUCUGAUUUAACGACGUUUCUUCUGAGUGGUACAAGCAAAUAAUCAAAACUUUUAACAACGGAUCUCUUGGUUCUGGCAUCGAUGAAGAACGCAGCGAAAUGCGAUAAGUAAUGUGAAUUGCAGAAUUCAGUGAAUCAUCGAAUCUUUGAACGCACAUUGCGCCCGCCAGCAUUCUGGCGGGCAUGCCUGUUCGAGCGUCAUUUCAACCCUCAAGCUCUGCUUGGUGUUGGGGCCCUACAGCUGAUGUAGGCCCUCAAAGGUAGUGGCGGACCCUCCCGGAGCCUCCUUUGCGUAGUAACUUUACGUCUCGCACUGGGAUCCGGAGGGACUCUUGCCGUAAAACCCCCCAAUUUUCCAAAGGUUGACCUUG